AAUCCCUUAUCGAUUAACAAUUAGAGGGCAAGUCUGGUGCCAGCAGCCGCGGUAAUUCCAGCUCUAAUAGCGUAUAUUAAAGUUGUUGCAGUUAAAAAGCUCGUAGUUGGAUUUCGGCGUGCGCUCAGGCUGGUCGGCCGUCAAGGUCUGUACCGUUUGGGUCACGCCCCACUGUAGGAUACUCACCGCUGUCCUUAACUGGGUGGCGGUCAAAGGGGGUGUGCAUGGGGGCAACUCUGUGCAUAUCUCUGGGGUUCCUACUCUUUUACUUUGAGCAAAUUAGAGUGUUCAAAGCAGGCAAUCGAGCCUUGAAUACUUCAGCAUGGGAUAAUGGAACAGGACUGGGGUCCUGAUUUCGUUGGUUUCUGGGAUCUCAGUAAUGAUUAAUAGGGAUAGUUGGGGGCAUUAGUAUUUAAUUGUCAGAGGUGAAAUUCUUGGAUUUAUGAAAGACUAACUUCUGCGAAAGCAUUUGCCAAGGAUGUUUUCAUUAAUCAAGAACGAAAGUUAGGGGAUCGAAGACGAUCAGAUACCGUCGUAGUCUUAACCAUAAACGAUGCCGACCAGCGAUUGGGAGACGUUACAUGGAUGACUCCCCCAGCAGCUUGCGAGAAAUCACAAGUCUUUGGGUUCCGGGGGGAGUAUGGUCGCAAGGCUGAAACUUAAAGGAAUUGACGGAAGGGCACCACCAGGAGUGGAGCCUGCGGCUUAAUUUGACCCAACACGGGGAAACUUACCAGGUCCAGACAUAGUAAGGAUUGACAGAUUUGAGAGCUCUUUCUUGAUUCUAUGGGUGGUGGUGCAUGGCCGUUCUUAGUUGGUGGAGUGAUUUGUCUGGUUAAUUCCGUUAACGAACGAGACCUUAACCUGCUAAAUAUGUCACUGGUAGACUUCUGCCAAAACAGGUGGGUGUCUAGGGGAAAGUUUCGAUGGACUCCGACGCAUUCAUCUGUGGAUGACUACCAGGAUGUACUUCUUAGAGGGACUAUCUGUAUCAAAGCAGAUGGAAGUUUGAGGCAAUAACAGGUCUGUGAUGCCCUUAGACGUUCUGGGCCGCACGCGCGCUACACUGACAAGUUCAACGAGUUUAACACCUUGCUCGAUAGGGCUGGGUAAUCUUUGAAAAACUUGUCGUGAUGGGGAUAGAUCAUUGUAAUUAUUGGUCUUCAACGAGGAAUUCCUAGUAAGCGUGAGUCAUCAGCUCGCGUUGAUUACGUCCCUGCCCUUUGUACACACCGCCCGUCGCUCCUACCGAUUGAAUGAUCCGGUGAAAUGUUGGGAGCUGGGGUCUUUUGGCGGCGGGGCAACUCGUCGUCAGGGAUUCUGCAAACUUCAUUAAACCUUAUCAUUUAGA
rnacentral:rRNA from 1 species